CCCACUUUCCAUUCCACUACUCCCACCACCAACUUCCACUGCACCUUUCCUUCCACUUAUUCCAUCAACCACCGACUCCCUCACAAUUUUAUAUCACCUUCCCUUUACACCACUAUACCAACUAAAACAUUUUAUAUCAGCUAAGGGAAGCUUUAACUCUGUUUCAAACAAAUCACCACAAUUUAUUCUCACAAGAAAAACGCAGAUGGAGGGCCUUAUUCACCAAAUUCCCUCUUUCAAGAACAGAACUUGAACUUACAAAGUUUUUGUUGCUGCAUGCUUUCACACCACAAGAAGCUUGGUUUUAAAGGACUCUCCCUCAACAGAUCAACAAAUCAGUAUCACAAGGCUUUGUGACCAGGGAGAUUAGCGCUGCUUCCCAAGACAGGUUUAUAUGUGAUUAUGAUCUUCAGGCUUUGCCUAACCAGGUUGAGCAGUUGAUGGAAUGGAAUGAUGUUGAGCGGGUAUUCCUUUGACAUUUCAAGAAAUGUAACCUUGAGGAUACAUCUUCAUAUGUAUAUCUCACACGUUUUUCCGCUGCAAAACACUUUGAUUAGGAUAACUCUAUGUUAUGAAGUUGUGACACGUGUUAUUGGGUAACCCACCUUAAUCAGUUCUCCUUUAUGUGUAUGUGUUAUAAGUAUCCAAAUGAUCAUAUAUGAUCAUAGCUUUUUUAUUUAUGAGUGACAUUUCCAUAUACUUUAAUGUUAAGUAAUUGUCCAUUUCCAUUUCUUAUUGUU